rnacentral:rRNA from 1 species
GGGCUCACACAAGCGGUGGAGCAUGUGGCUUAAUUCGAAGCAACGCGAAGAACCUUAUCCAGGGUUUGACAUGCACGGAUACCCUUUUCGAAAGAAGAGUAAGUUGCCCUUUGGGUGAAACGUGCACAGGUGCUGCAUGGCUGUCGUCAGCUCGUGCUGUGAAGUGUCGGGUUAAGUCCCUUAACGAGCGAAACCCCUAUCUUUAGUUGCCAGCGAGUAAUGUCGGGGACUCUAGAGAGACUGCCGGUGUCAAACCGGAGGAAGGUGGGGAUGACGUCAAGUCCUCAUGGCCUUUAUGCCCUGGGCUGCACACGUGCUACAAUGCGGCGUACAGAGCGAAGCAAUACCGCAAGGUGGAGCAAA